rnacentral:lncRNA from 1 species
GAGUCCAUUACUUAUCUAUUCCUAACAUUUUUUAAUAUCCCUUACACUACAGUUAAAGAGGUCUAUAUCACAGAUCUUUAUUAACGCCUUACACUGAUAUUGCAUAUUAUAGUUUAUUAUUGCACAAGAAUUAUAUGGACUACAAGAAAAUAGGUCAUUACUGUUUACUCUUAGGUUGACCUUUGGCACAUGAAACCUAAUAAAGUUGAUCAAACCACAUGUCUUAUAUUUAACAUUGUUAAUAAUAUUAUGAGUGAUAAGACCUAUAGUCUAUAGUGAAACAUGGACGAUAAACAAAUCCGAGCAAGUCAUGCUUAAAGUAUGGGAAAGAAAAGUCCUAAGAAAAAUAUUUGGCGGAAAGAUAUGGAAUGGAAUGUGGAUAAGAAGACCAAAUGUAGAAUUGGAGAGGAUGUAUGGUGAACCAAACAUAGUAGGGAUCAUAAAAUCACAAAGACUGAGAUGGUUGGGACAUAUCCAAAGGAUGCCAAAUACGAGACUUCCCAAAAAAUACUAACGGGAGGAAUAGGAGGAAAGAAGAAGAAAGGUAGACCGAAAA